ensembl:lncRNA
CUGAGGUAGCGCGGGGGAGGGUAGGCCGGCCUGGUAAAUGCAAAAGGCUGGUACAGAAGCGUUUUAGCACAAUCGGGCUGGAAAGCUCCGACUGCAACGGGCUGAGAACAAAAAAAAAAAAAAAAAAAAAAAAAAAAAAAAAAANAAAAAANNNNNNNNNNNNNNNNNNNNAAAAAAAAAGAAACGUGAAAAGGCUCCUUUGCUGCCCUCUGCCUGCCGAGGCUGCGGCCGCCUCCGAGGCUGGCGAAGAGCUGACAUUGCCUGAGUGAAAAAACGGAGGAAUCCGGGCCAAUUCGCACACCUGUGGUGCUUCCACACAAUCAAUUAGGUUGGAAAGACCUCUGAGAUCGUCGAGUCCAACCCUUCCUGGCUCUGGAUGCACUGAGUUGUCCUUUUUCCCACGUGUGGACGUGCUUCUCUUCACCUCGCUUCCAGACAACUUCAGUAGAGAAAGAUGAGGCACAAAGAGGAGGAACUCACCCAGUCCCACCCGGCACUGCAGAAGGAACCAGAAUUACCAGCCCUUGCUCUGCCUCGCCCAGGGUGUGCCCUGAUGGAAACAAACUGUCGGACAUUUUCUCCAAACACACCUCUGCUGCUGCACAGGCUGUGGGACAGAAUAAACGCUCUAACCAAGGAUUCUUCUGCUGCUUCCUAUUUGAAAGAGAUACAAACUUUUAUCCCAGGAAAAACAACAGAACCCAGGAGCUCAUUACACAUUUAAAUUGCAAGACUCACAACUACUGUUCUUAGUUUUGGUUGCAGAUAUUUGUAAUAACAAUUUUUUCUAAAACAAAAAGACUUUUCUCCAAAGGGGUCCUUGGCCAUUCACCCUGAGACAAGCAGGGGUUUAGACAAAAAACACCCAAAACCUCCAAAUCUAACACCAAACAGAGGUGGCAGCUCGGAUUCUUCUCCAGUGUGAUCCCAUCAGCGCAGUUACAGCAUCACCCCCACCUCUCGCAUUUCUCACCCCUCCACACAUCAUUUAAAGUCAGUGGCUCCUUUUGUGAGCAGCCAGCUCCUCACCCCGGCACUUUCCCUGCACUUCGACAAAAGAGACCUUUUACAUGUCAAUUUAUUUUCAGACAAGCAUAUCUGAAAGGGAGUUUCCCUCCGGAGUCGAAUUAGUAUUAAUGGCAGGUGUUCAGUGGCACACAAAGGGAGGGAGGCUGAGCCGAGGCACUAAGACAGCUUGAUGUUUUAAUAACCAGAGGCAAGGAAUGGAGUGGCAGCGGACCUGCGGCUUCCCCGGCGUGAGUGAAGGUUUUAUUCAGAGCCCCCAUGUACUGCCGAAAGAAGACCUUGAAAUAUUUUAAAUGUUUUCUUUGCCUUCAAAGGGGGAUUAAAUUAUUGAAUAUUCCAUGAAAGCACAGCAUCCACCCCACAUCCCGUGGAACUCACUCGCAGUCACUGAGUACUUCCGAAGCCUCCCGCAGCCUUGGGAAGCAGCCGCGGCCACCACGAGGAGGUGGUGGCACCCAGGAGGCCUCCAGCUGCACAGUUCACCAUCCACCAGUGCCCAGAGAUGCUGAAAAAAGAUUUACAUGGACUAACUCAAAGGUGGAAACUUGGAGAGGGAUUUGCAUUAAAGUUUAAAAAGUUAAAACCACAGAUCAGUUGCUUAGUGAAGUUUCACUAUGAAAAGGAAAGAGAAGAUGAUUGCUGGAAAAGCUACUGGCCUUCAGUUUUAAACUGAAUCUUGAUGGGAAUAUUUCCCAGGCCAAAAUACAUUUAUUGAUGCCCUGGUGAAUUUGACAGAGGUCAGCAAGGGAAAGGCACAGCUACACAGUGGGAAAGAAGGGAAACAUCCUCUCAGCUGGGUCAGCCCCUACAACAAAAAAAUGGCUGAUUUACGCCCCAAAAUAGGAAAAUUUAACCUGUAUUAUACAGAAACAGUAUUAUAUAGAGCUGUUCAACAUUAUUUUUGGGCUCCUUGACUUUGGAUCAAUAUGUUUUUUCUGCAGAGGUUAUUUCCAGGUAGACUCAGCAGUUUGAGGCUGGAUUCCGGGAUUUCUGCUCCCUUGAGCUUUCAUUCAGACCUGUUCAGGACAAAAGCUUAAAGAUCAAAUCUACUAUUAAAUACCUGAACUAACAGAAAUAGCUUUCCUUGUAAAGAUGUCCUUAUGUAUGGAAGUUAAAUCAAUUUUUGCCUCUUUUAAAGCCAAGACAAUUUGUGAUAUCCUGUGUAUCCUCUUUGUCCCAAGUUACAGCUGAAUGACCCCAAACUCCUGUAAGACAAAUCACUCACUGUCCCCAAGCAGGCAUUAGAUACCCAACUUUCACCUCAAAUAAUGCAAUUUCAGUUAAUAUGACAACAGGAUUUUGGCAAAGGUCAGGACAAAACCGGAAAAGGAAGGAGAGAGCCCAACCCAGCACAAACAGCUCUCAUAUACAGAAAAUUCACAAGUCCAAUUUUAUUGAGCACUGCAAUUAAAAAAGUAACAGCACUUCGUUGAUCUGGAACUAAAAAUCAAGGCUUAUUUUACUUAUGGAUAACUCAGAACAACGCAGUUAAAAGCCCCCUGGAGAGGAAGGUGUAGCCCUUGUUCUCUCUCUUCUCCAAUGGGAUGGGGAUUUCAGAAGCUCCAGCUGCACCAAGCACAAAGUUCUUCUGAUUGGAGACACGAGGGUGGCAGAGAGGUUUGAUGCUUCUGGUUUUGGAGUCUGACACCACAGGUAUCGUCUCAUGGCCAGGCAGAACCUGCAGCAGCUGAGGGCUGCUCUCCCCCUGCCCACACUGAUCUGUACCUGGUUGUCCCCACACCCCUGAGUUGUCCCCAGCUGGCCUCACACCAGCACAUCACAGGGAGGAUUAGCAAGGGCUGUAAUGCUUUUCCUGACUGAUAUUUGAAAACAUUUGCAAUUUCAUACGAAUAAUCAGUUAUCCCCCAAACCAGGACAAGUAUUUGGUUUAAGACCCCCUAAACCCCAGGGUUUAAGAGCACUGAUCCCCAUCCACCCAUGGUGGGUUGGCAUCCAACCCAUUCACCACCCCAGACCUUCCCUCGAAACAUAAUGUAGGAAAUAUUCUGAAAAUCUGUGGAGGUUCCUGCAACACCCAAAGGGACUGAGCCCAGCUCCAGAAAAAUGUGAUUAUUGUAUUGGUUGCAGGUACCUACCAUUUGCACAGCAAGAGUCACUGUGGAGUUGUAGGGAACUUCAUGCCACAAGUAUUUUUAAGGAAGGCAUUUUGGGUGAUGGAGUGUCCCCCUCCCCAAAUCUCAGCAAAACAUUAAAUCCCUCUCUGCUGGGGUUGGUGGCAAUACCAGUAAGAAGAUUCACUGUGGACUGGAGCUGGCCUCCUCCUCUCAGAAGCGCUGGACACUCAGGCUGCACUUGGAAUACAGACAGAAAGAAAUUGUGACUAUUUCAACUUCUCACUGGCUGCUCACAGGACCUGCUUGGAUGAGGGUACAGGAGAACAGCACUGUGCAUCUCACAUAAUUAUUUUUAUGGAAUUCUCCAUUUUAGAGCCAACUGGGACUGAACAAAAAAGCAAGUUUCCUCUCUUGUGACAUGAUCAGCUAAAAGUAGCAGAAAUUCACAUGAGAACCUUUGCUGGCUCCAGUCAUAUCCUUGAGCUCUGUUUGCAGCCCUUGUAGCAAUCCUGCUACUCCCCGAAAAUGCCUCCAUGGAACCAUGGAGCUCUGGCAGUUCCUUGCAGGUCAGACUGGGGUGGGUAUUUCUUUCUAGCAUGGUUUGCCUCUAAGUGUUGGUUUCUAUAAGCACAGAAGUGUCCUAAGAGUAAGAAAUUCCCCAUUCCUGUUGGUUCUUGCCUCAUUUCAGGACUGGUUCUGGUCACCUCCCACUGAGAGAAAGUAGCAUGAGAGGCUGCCCUAAGUGGCAUUGCUGGUUUUCAGAGCCUGAUCAAAAGCUUUGCAGCUUUUCCAGAAGGCAGACAAGGAGCACUGUCCCUGCAUAGCACGGAGGAACAACCUGGGAAGGGCGGGAAGUGCCCAGGAAACACCAGGGGGUGGCUGGUUCUGCAGCUCACAGUCAGUCACAGGACGGCCCCUGAAUGACAUGUUUAUUGUACGAGUCAGAAAGAAGCCCUGAGUCACCGGCUGGAGAACAAAGUUAAAUUAAAAAAUAAAGGGUGGUUUGGUUCAGAGGUUCUUGCUGAG